AAUUACCCAAUCCUGACACAGGGAGGUAGUGACAAGAAAUAACAAUACGGGACAAAGUCUUGUAAUUGGAAUGAUGGGGAUAUAAAUCUCUCCCAGAGUAACAAUUGGAGGGCAAGUCUGGUGCCAGCAGCCGCGGUAAUUCCAGCUCCAAUAGCGUAUAUUAAAAUUGUUGCAGUUAAAGAGCUCGUAGUUGAAUUUUUGCCGGACAUUACUAAUUACCUUUUGGUUGAUUGUAAUUCCCCGGCAUUUAUCGGUAUUAAUAUUUUUAAUUACCGAUAGGUUACUUUGAGAAAAUUAGAGUGCUUAAAGCAGGCUUUGCCUUGAAUAAUUUAGCAUGGAAUAACAUAGUAGGACUUUGGUUCUAUUUUGUUGGUUUUAGGAACCAAAGUAAUGGUUAAUAGGAACAGUUGGGGGCAUUCGUAUUUAA
rnacentral:rRNA from 1 species